rnacentral:rRNA from 1 species
GGCGGCAGGCCUAACACAUGCAAGUCGAACGAACUCUUCGGAGUUAGUGGCGGACGGGUGAGUAACACGUGGGAACGUGCCUUUAGGUUCGGAAUAACUCAGGGAAACUUGUGCUAAUACCGAAUGUGCCCUUCGGGGGAAAGAUUUAUCGCCUUUAGAGCGGCCCGCGUCUGAUUAGCUAGUUGGUGAGGUAAAGGCUCACCAAGGCGACGAUCAGUAGCUGGUCUGAGAGGAUGAUCAGCCACAUUGGGACUGAGACACGGCCCAAACUCCUACGGGAGGCAGCAGUGGGGAAUCUUGCGCAAUGGGCGAAAGCCUGACGCAGCCAUGCCGCGUGAAUGAUGAAGGUCUUAGGAUUGUAAAAUUCUUUCACCGGGGACGAUAAUGACGGUACCCGGAGAAGAAGCCCCGGCUAACUUCGUGCCAGCAGCCGCGGUAAUACGAAGGGGGCUAGCGUUGCUCGGAAUUACUGGGCGUAAAGGGAGCGUAGGCGGACAUUUAAGUCAGGGGUGAAAUCCCGGGGCUCAACCUCGGAAUUGCCUUUGAUACUGGGUGUCUUGAGUAUGAGAGAGGUGUGUGGAACUCCGAGUGUAGAGGUGAAAUUCGUAGAUAUUCGGAAGAACACCAGUGGCGAAGGCGACACACUGGCUCAUUACUGACGCUGAGGCUCGAAAGCGUGGGGAGCAAACAGGAUUAGAUACCCUGGUAGUCCACGCCGUAAACGAUGAUUGCUAGUUGUCGGGAUGCAU